CCCCCCGCGCUGGGCGUUGAUCCGGCCGCCGAGGGUCCGUAUUGCGCAUCCGCAAUAUCCCCCGUCCUCGCCCGCUUCCCCGCGGAAGAAAAAGCGCCAGAGCCUGGUCGGUUUCACGGCGGGGCCCCCCCGGGCCCCCCCAGCCUGAGGUGAGAUGGAAGAGAAGGACAGAGAGGGAAAAUGGGAAAAAAUCAAAACCAAGCAGGUCUCUACCUAAUAGCACCAAAGGAGCUGGCUCUCCUGCAGGUUGGUGUAUCGCAGGUGAAGGCGGUGUGGCUUCUCUGAUGUCUAAUAACCACCGAGCUACACGACACCAUCCCCUCCAUGGCCUCCCUCCCCUGCCCUGCUGCCUGAGUCAUUAGAGGGAGACCAUAACUCCCCAGAGGUGUCCAACCUCCUGCUAGACCUGGCCAGAUUUCAGGUGUUACAGGGGGAGGUGGCAGCCUCCCACCUGCACACACCCUCGUCAUCAGGCACCGGACUAACGACCCUCUCUCUGCUCUUCUCCUGGGAAAAGUAGUAUUUCCCGACUGCUGCUGCCCCCAGACCUUUCCCAGAGGCCAAACGGGGCUGCUCUGCCCAUUUCUCUCAUCCUCGGGCACCGCCUGGAGCGGAGGAAACCCUGUCCAGAACCGCACGGGACUCAUUUCCUCGCCACCCGGAUGCGUGGGAAUCUGCGGAGAAGCGGUGGAAGUGCUGUCACUGCUGGACCUGGAGCCUCCAAAACCCUUCCCAUCACAAAAAAGGCCUUCAGACAAAAUGUCUUUAUUUUAACCCUCUGAGCAUGAAGCGAUGGAGCAGGUCCGCGUGCCAGCUGGCAGCAGGCUGGGUACGAACCAGGCGUUGUGUCACCGGCAGAGCGAUGACUGACGGUGCCGGGAUGGUACCUCAUCUUCAGGUGGUUUUUCUAGACACAUAAAUGUCCCCUGUGUCUGCAUUAGGGCGUCCAGUCUCUAUUUACGUGCUAUUUCUGCUUACUGCAGAUAUAACCUUCCUGUUUACAAAUCAACAAUAUCAGGGCUUUCUGGUUUUAACCUCUUAAUUAGUUUUCCUUUCCUAUUUAAGAAAUAUGUCAACAGGGACAGGAAAGUGGCUCAACACGUAGUGCCGCAACACUUCAGUGGAUGGAUUUUUCAAGAAUAGGAUUUUUUUAGUGCUUUUUUCAUCCCCUUAGGAGGACUCCUGUGCACUACCUAAAUUACACCCUGUAUCAUUCUUUUUUUAUAAAUAAAUUCUGCUAAUAAUGAA